GACGAACGCUGGCGGCGUGCUUAACACAUGCCAGUCGAACGGAAAGGCCCUGCUUUUGUGGGGUGCUCGAGUGGCGAACGGGUGAGUAACACGUGAGUAACCUGCCCUUGACUUUGGGAUAACUUCAGGAAACUGGGGCUAAUACCGGAUAGGAGCUCCUGCUGCAUGGUGGGGGUUGGAAAGUUUCGGCGGUUGGGGAUGGACUCGAGGCUUAUCAGCUGGUUGGUGGGGUAGUGGCUUACCAAGGCUUUGACGGGUAGCCGGCCUGAGAGGGUGACCGGCCACAUUGGGACUGAGAUACGGCCCAGACUCCUACGGGAGGCAGCAGUGGGGAAUAUUGCACAAUGGGCGGAAGCCUGAUGCAGCAACGCCGCGUGCGUGAUGACGUCCUUCGGGUUGUAAACCGCUUUCGCCUGUGACGAAGCGUGAGUGACGGUAAUGGGUAAAGAAGCACCGGCUAACUACGUG
rnacentral:rRNA from 1 species